GACGUAGGGAGCGAGCGUUGUCCGGAUUCAUUGGGCGUAAAGAGCGCGCAGGCGGUUUGGUAAGUCGGAUGUGAAAACCCGGGGCUCAACCCCGGGCGUGCAUCUCGAUACUGCCCGACUAGAGGUAGGUAGGGGAGAUCGGAAUUCCUGGUGUAGCGGUGAAAUGCGCAGAUAUCAGGAGGAACACCGGUGGCGAAGGCGGAUCUCUGGACAGUUACUGACACUGAGGCACGAAGGCCAGGGGAGCAAACG
rnacentral:rRNA from 1 species